CCUACGGGUGGCUGCAGUGAGGAAUAUUGGUCAAUGGACGAGAGUCUGAACCAGCCAAGUAGCGUGAAGGAUGACUGCCCUAUGGGUGGUAAACUUCUUUUAUAUGGGAAUAAAACGUUCCACGUGUGGGAUUUUGUAUGUACCAUAUGAAUAAGGAUCGGCUAACUCCGUGCCAGCAGCCGCGGUAAUACGGAGGAUCCGAGCGUUAUCCGGAUUUAUUGGGUUUAAAGGGAGCGUAGGUGGAUGGUUAAGUCAGUUGUGAAAGUUUGCGGCUCAACCGUACAAGUGCAGUUGAAACUGGCAGUCUUGAGUACAGUAGAGGUGGGCGGAAUUCGUGGUGUAGCGGUGAAAUGCUUAGAUAUCACGAAGAACACCGAUUGCGAAGGCAGUUCACUGGACUGCAACUGACACUGAGGCUCGAAAGUGUGGGGAUCAAACAGGAUUAGAUACCCGAGUAGUC
rnacentral:rRNA from 1 species